GCCUGGGUGGCUCAGUCAGUUGGGCAUCUGACUUCAGCUCAGGUCAUGAUCUCACAGCUCGUGAGUUCGAGCCCCACGUCGGGCU
rnacentral:tRNA from 1 species